UCUCCACCCAGCCGAUGGCUGCCUUGGAACCCACUCCUUGGUCACCUCCGAGCUCUCCCAUCAGGACCCAUAGAGGCCUGCAGCGGAAGUUGCCAGCCACGUCCAGCCUCACAUGCAACUAAGGUGCCCAGGAUCUUUUCUUCCUCAUGGUUUCAAUGUUCUGUACUAAUAAGAAUGAGGUAAGAUGAGACGAGUAUUUUAGUUUUGAUGGAGAGAUGGAAAUUCCUGCCUUCUCAGUUUUCAAGGACAAAGAUCAAAUGAUUACCUGUUUCCGACCUCCCAUCCAGAGAGCAAUCAGAGGGAAAGCUUGAAGGCGCUUUAGGUUAUAUGAACGAUGAUUCAUAUGGUCAAGUGUAUGUUCAGAGAUCUACUUGCCCAUAGGAUGUUCUUUAAGAUGAAUACUUUGUAUCGACUGAUUGCCGUGUUACAAACAGAAUGUACAUGUUUUGUUUAUUUGAAGAGCACUUGAUGUACAGCCUGUGAUGUGUUCAUUUGCCCCUCCUCAUCAACUGAUCGGUUACUGGUGAUUUCCAUAGAGGAAGGAGGAUUCCACAGCCAUCCAUCGGCAGUGGGAGGCAGAAGAAAGCAAGUUGGAGGCGAACACCAAGAGGCAUACAAGAGGGCGACCAUCGCAGGAGCACAUCAUAGCUUAGACCAUCAUCACAAGAACUGGAGUUCGGAACCCUGAAGCAAACUAGCUACCACUUGCUUACACGAAGCUACAACGAUGUGUGUUUACUCUGAAGACAGAGACAAGAGAAGCUCUUGAUAUUGUAUACAGCUUGGGUGCUCCAUGAAUUCUGAUUACAAACCAGACAGAAGGUAAAAGGGAACAAGCAUGCUUGCGUCAUUUUGUUAACUCUUUGCUAGCAACUCUCCCAUUUUAGAUCUAUUUCCCCAUAGGAUGCUCUUUAAGAUGAAUACUUCUUAUCGACUUAACCAUAUAACUUUGUCAAGUAGGUUUACUGUAAUAACUUUAGAAUAAUUUCUGGUUGUCCCAUCUUUACCUGUCAGGAGCCAGGAUGA